rnacentral:rRNA from 1 species
ACGAAGCAAUUUCUCACGAUCCCUUCGGGGUGACGAGUUAUUGACUGAGUGGCGGACGGGUGAGUAACGCGUGGGUAACCUACCUUGUACAGGGGGACAACAGUUGGAAACGACUGCUAAUACCGCAUAAGCGCACAGCAUCGCAUGAUGCAGUGUGAAAAGUUUUUUCGGUACAAGAUGGACCCGCGUCUGAUUAGCUAGUUGGUGAGGUAACGGCCCACCAAGGCGACGAUCAGUAGCCGACCUGAGAGGGUGACCGGCCACAUUGGGACUGAGACACGGCCCAAACUCCUACGGGAGGCAGCAGUGGGGAAUAUUGCACAAUGGGCGCAAGCCUGAUGCAGCGACGCCGCGUGAGCGAAGAAGUAUUUCGGUAUGUAAAGCUCUAUCAGCAGGGAAGAUAAUGACGGUACCUGACUAAGAAGCACCGGCUAAAUACGUGCCAGCAGCCGCGGUAAUACGUAUGGUGCAAGCGUUAUCCGGAUUUACUGGGUGUAAAGGGAGCGUAGGCGGUUUUACAAGUCUGAUGUGAAAGCCCGGGGCUCAACUCCGGUAUUGCAUUGGAAACUGUAGAACUAGAGUGUCGGAGGGGUAAGUGGAAUUCCUAGUGUAGCGGUGAAAUGCGUAGAUAUUAGGAGGAACACCAGUGGCGAAGGCGGCUUACUGGACGAUUACUGACGCUGAGGCUCGAAAGCGUGGGGAGCAAACAGGAUUAGAUACCCUGGUAGUCCACGCCGUAAACGAU